AUAUUUAUAAAAGCGAACUGCGUUAAAACUUUUACAAAGAAACUAAAUUUGCGGAAGCAGCACUACAGUGAAUGAAAGAAAAUGGAGAUCCAAAAAGCAACCAACGUGAAACUACAAUCCCAUCAUGUUUCCCGUGAAAAAAGAAGUCGAAUUAUGG